GCCGGGGUGGCUGAGCGGUCUAAGGCGCCGGCCUUGAGAGCCGGUUCCCCGGUAGGGGAGCGCGGGUUCGAAUCCCGCCCCCGGCGCCA
rnacentral:tRNA from 1 species